rnacentral:rRNA from 1 species
UACAGAGGUGGCAAGCGUUGUUCGGAAUUACUGGGCGUAAAGGGCGCGUAGGCGGCUUGGUCAGUCCCGUGUGAAAUCCCUCGGCUACACUGAGGAACUGCACGGGAAACUGCCUGGCUUGAGUUCGGGAGAGGGAAGCGGAAUUCCGGGUGUAGCGGUGAAAUGACGUAGAUAUCCGGAGGAACACCGGUGGCGAAGGCGGCUCCUGGACCGACACUGACGCUGAGGCGCGAAAGCUAGGGGAGCAAACGGG